rnacentral:lncRNA from 1 species
ACUGGGAAAAAGGGAGAGCCUCGAGCUUCUCUUGUUGUUUAGUCCCCCACUUGGCAUGAGAAGAAGCUCAGGUAUAUCCCCUUGGGUUAGUGAAAAUCAGAGGAUUCUCAAACAAUAGCCAACAGGCCUCUCUCAGAAGGACCAGGCAAGAUGAGAUGACUCCCUGCAGAGGAACAGAUUGGGAAAAUGAGGCCCCAGAAGUUUACUCCGUCUGUUUUCUAGAUACCACAGUGGCUGCUCCCUGACUAGGGUCGAUGCUCAGCAGUGUGCACUUUAAGUGAUUGCAGCCCAUGAAACAGCACUGCUUGAUGAGCUUACAAAUCACGUGAAGCUGAUUUCCCAUUUGGCAGUUGUUUGCUGAUUUGCAGUGAUCCGUAUGGUUAUGAACGUUUAAACUGACCAGGAAUGGCACCAAAGGACAGACUCACUACUGUCUGAGAUUCCCUGUUCCCCAGGGGCUCAGCAAGUCUGAGUGGCCCUGCAGGGAGGGCUAGCUGCUGGGUGCAGAGUCCCUCUAGUGGCCAUUUCUGUUGUUAUUCGACGACACAUAGCAAGUUCUCUUGGGCUUAAAUUGACUGGAGACUUUGGGGUAAAGACUAAUAACCGUACAUACACAGGUGGGGUGCUCUGUCCAAGAGAAGAGUCCGACUGGCAUUUGUGGCAGUGUUUGAAAUGUAAAUGUGCUCCUGUGUGUUCCUGUAAAUAUUUAAUACGUGUCUCAGACGCCCUUUGAAGUGGGAGGGGAUCGAUCUUGGGAAUAUUUCAAAUGGAAUAGAGUAUUUUGAUAUGUUCAUUGGAAGGGUGACGUGUACAUACUUCUGUUGUAUAUACGUGGUGACAUGCAUUGGCUUUUGUGCAGAAACAACCUGCUCUCUGUGCUGCUGUUGGACAGUCAGUGUUUUAAUGUUUCUACAGUUUUCCUAUUGCACGAUUUCAUAUUCUGCCAAUGGUGAGUGGCACCCAUUCUUUGUAACUGUUUAGUGCUGUAAAGACAUAUUCCAAGUGUCAUUAGGAUUGUCGCUGCCAGAACUGAUAUGCAUGGAUGGCACUUAAAAUAAAUAUAUUAUGACUGUAUGUGCAGCC